UACGGGGGGAGCAAGCGUUGUUCGGAUUUACUGGGCGUAAAGGGCGCGUAGGCGGCCAGCACAAGUCAGUUGUGAAAUCUCCGAGCUUAACUCGGAAAGGUCAACUGAUACUGUGCGGCUAGAGUGCGGAAGGGGCAACUGGAAUUCUUGGCGUAGCGGUGAAAUGCGUAGAUAUCAAGAGGAACACCUGCGGCGAAGGCGGGUUGCUGGGCCGACACUGACGCUGAGGCGCGAAAGCCAGGGGAGCGAACGGG
rnacentral:rRNA from 1 species